UACGUAGGGUGCGAGCGUUUGUCCGGAAUUAUUGGGCGUAAAGAGCUUGUAGGCGGUUUGUCGCGUCUGCCGUGAAAACCCGGGGCUUAACCCCGGGCUUGCAGUGGAUACGGGCAGGCUGGAGGCAGGCAGGGGAGAACGGAAUUCCCGGUGUAGCGGUGAAAUGCGCAGAUAUCGGGAGGAACACCAGUGGCGAAGGCGGCCUUCUGGACCAAUACUGACGCUCAUGCACGAAAGCGUGGGGAGCAAACAGG
rnacentral:rRNA from 1 species